UACGGAGGGGACUAGCGUUGUUCGGAAUUACUGGGCGUAAAGCGCACGUAGGCGGAUUUGUAAGUCAGGGGUGAAAUCCCGGGGCUCAACCUCGGAACUGCCUUUGAUACUGCAAAUCUCGAGUCCGGAAGAGGUGAGUGGAAUUCCUAGUGUAGAGGUGAAAUUCGUAGAUAUUAGGAAGAACACCAGUGGCGAAGGCGGCUCACUGGUCCGGUACUGACGCUGAGGUGCGAAAGCGUGGGGAGCAAACAG
rnacentral:rRNA from 1 species